rnacentral:rRNA from 1 species
UACGUAGGGACCAAGCGUUGUUCGGAUUUACUGGGCGUAAAGGGCGCGUAGGCGGUGCGGUAAGUCACUUGUGAAAUCUCCGGGCUUAACUCGGAAUGGCCAAGUGAAACUGUCAAGCUAGAGUGCGGAAGGGGCAAUCGGAAUUCUUGGUGUAGCGGUGAAAUGCGUAGAUAUCAAGAGGAACACCUGAGGUGAAGACGGGUUGCUGGGCCGACACUGACGCUGAUGCGCGAAAGCCAGGGGAGCAAACGGG